rnacentral:rRNA from 1 species
CACGGAAUUAGCCGGUCCUUAUUCAUGCAGUACCUGCAAAAAGGGACGCGUCCCUCACUUUAUCCCCGCAUAAAAGCAGUUUACAACCCGUAGGGCCGUCAUCCUGCACGCUACUUGGCUGGUUCAGGCUUCCGCCCAUUGACCAAUAUUCCUCACUGCUGCCUCCCGUAGGAGUUUGGACCGUGUCUCAGUUCCAAUGUGGGGGACCUUCCUCUCAGAACCCCUACUGAUCGUCGCCUUGGUGGGCCGUCGCCCCGCCAACUAGCUAAUCAGACGCAUCCCCCUCCGUUACCGACGGAUCUUUGCUUCGAAUCUGAUGCCGUCAUCGAAGAACAUGCGGUAUUAGUCUGCCUUUGGCAGGUUAUCCCGCAGUAACGGGAGUUGGAUACGCGUUACUCACCCGUGCGCCGGUCGACGUCCAUUCGGUGCAAGCACCCAAUGCCGUUUCCCCUCGACUUGCAUGUGUUAAGCCUGUAGCCAGCGUUCAUCCUGAGCCAGGAUCAAACUCU